ensembl:lncRNA
AAAGGCCGGACCGAUCCGCCUCAAACACGCGUGUGCGCUUUCGGAUGAGUGUGUGUGUAGCGUGGGUACUUCUUCGAGUUUGUUUUAGUUUUGUUCCGUAUUUAUAUGAUCUAUCGCAUUGUCGCGUCUUGUUUUAAAGAUGUCCGCGGACGCGUCGAAGCGCGGCCACUUGAUCCUCCUGAUCUGUCGUCAUUUAAAGGAGAGCGGGUUGCUGGAUGCAGCUGAGGAGCUGAGGAAGCAUGCACCUCAGGUGGAAUCGGGCACCUCUGCGUCCUUGAUGGACAUUUAUACUUCAUGGUUGGAAAAGUCCAAUGGGUUGACCAAGAGGAGACGGAAAGCAGACCCAAAGAGCAGCAGUGAGACCUCGGACGACGAGGAUGGAGUGACCCUCGCUAAAGGUAGGGGCCCCUCGCUGAAGGUAGGGGCCACUCUAAGGGUAGGGGCCACUCUAAAGGUAGGGGCCACUCUAAAGGUAGGGGCCACUCUAAAGGUAGGGGGCCACUCUCUAAAGGUAGGGGGCCACUCUAAAGGUAGGGGGGGCCCUCUCUAAAGGUAGGGUUUUAACAUGAUUAACAGUAUGUGCUGUCAGUUGAAUAUUGCUAAUUCUGCAGUGUAGCACUUCAGUAGUCAAACAAUUUGUUACAAACCGUUUUCUGAAG